CUGAUCUCUUUCCUAAGAUCAACAGAUCUUUUGUUGUUUUCACUUAACAGAUAUUCUUAGGGAGGACUUCCAAUGUGCAAGAUGCUGACUGGGGUGUUGUUACAGCCUACAGGUACUUUUGAAGUUUUCAAGAGUUAAGUCUCUGAAGACCCAGAACAGAGUGCGAUGGAUCUUCCACUGUGGCAGGAGAUGUUCAAUAAGUAACUCUACAUAGUUUCUCUGGAGGAAUUCGGAAGGCACCCAUGGGACAACAGCCGAGGGCAGGCUUCAGUAUCAGUCCAGCAAGUGGAGCGUGGGACCCAAGGAACGAGCAAUGGCUCCCAGGCACCGCAUCUGGUGAGAGACUUACGUCUGGCAGCAUCUUGAUGAAGGGGUGGAUGUUGGCCUCCUUGGCCGCGCGCUCAAUCUCCUCCUGGGACACGACCCGGCUGUUGUCUCCAUAGGCGAUGUUCU